rnacentral:rRNA from 1 species
GACGAACGCUGGCGGCGUGCUUAACACAUGCAAGUCGAACGGAAAGGCCCUGCUUUUGUGGGGUGCUCGAGUGGCGAACGGGUGAGUAACACGUGAGUAACCUGCCCUUGACUUUGGGAUAACUUCAGGAAACUGGGGCUAAUACCGGAUAGGAGCUCCUGCUGCAUGGUGGGGGUUGAAAAGUUUCGGCGGUUGGGGAUGGACUCGCGGCUUAUCAGCUUGUUGGUGGGGUAGUGGCUUACCAAGGCUUUGACGGGUAGCCGGCCUGAGAGGGUGACCGGCCACAUUGGGACUGAGAUACGGCCCAGACUCCUACGGGAGGCAGCAGUGGGGAAUAUUGCACAAUGGGCGGAAGCCUGAUGCAGCAACGCCGCGUGCGGGAUGACGGCCUUCGGGUUGUAAACCGCUUUCGCCUGUGACGAAGCGUGAGUGACGGUAGUGGGUAAAGAAGCACCGGCUAACUACGUG